rnacentral:rRNA from 1 species
ACGCACGUGUGAAACUUGAAGGAAUUGACCGGAAGGGCACCACAAGAACGCGUGGAGCAUGUGGCUUAAUUUGACUCAACGCGGGGAAAUCUUACCGGGUCCGGACACACUGAGGAUUGACAGGCAAUAUUAGCAAUUCUUUAUGUCUUUCGGGGCAUUAAAGUAGUUGUUAUGUUAAAUAUGCUAGUCCUUUCAUGAUUAUGUGAUAGGUGGUGCAUGGCCGUUCUUAGUUCGUGGAGUGAUCUGUCUGCUUAAUUGCGUUUCACUAAGGGCCUAUAAUUUAACGUGUGUUGCGGCACUUUGACCCCUCUUUUUUAAAGAGCGCGUGUCUUAGCUUGUUUAGCUCACACAAUUAGGUCCUGAAAGCAACGAACGUGACCG